ensembl:lncRNA novel transcript
CUUGUCACUGUCCCGGGAGGGGUAUAUAUAGGAAGAGCAGGCAGGCUGAGGUAGACCAUUGAGACACACAGACAUGGUGAAGAUGACCAGGACACCAUGAGCUUCCAGCCCAGUUGUGGAACAACCACCUGCGGACACCAAAGAGCCAAGGAAGAGGGAGGCCCAUUCUCAACCAAAGUCCAAAAGUCCUAUCAAGGUUCCCAAGACUACCCGAAGGAAAAAGGAACCCUUUGAGGAAGUUCCAAGAAAAAGGCCACUCCCUAAAAGACCACCUCUUUAAGAAAACAUGAGAAAGAGAGCAGGCCAACAGUAUCUGGCCACUGUGACCAGCUGAAUGAGGAGCUCAGUUAAAAUGAGCCACAGCAGGACCAAAAAAGUGAGGAGACCUCCACCAUCUGCAGUGUCUCCCUGGACAGCUAGUAAUUUCAGGGCAAGGCCAGAGACCUCAGAUCUAUCUGAAAAGUCUCCAGAGGUCUGACCCCAGAUAAAUAGCCAACAGGGUCUAGAGUACAUUCUAUACCCCACUGGGUACGCCCCAUGGUGAUGAAAAUAAAAUAAACCUGUUGU